rnacentral:rRNA from 1 species
CCCUUAGAUGUUCGGAGCUGCACGCGCGCUACACUGAAGGAAGCAGCGUGUUAGGACACCUGGCUCGAAAGAGCUGGGCAAUCCGGUGAAUGUCCUUCGUGAUUGGGAUAGGGACUUGUAAUUAUUCCCCUUGAACGAGGAAUACCUAGUAAGUGCGAGUCAUCAGCUCGUGCUGAUUACGUCCCUGCCCUUUGUACACACCGCCCGUCGCUACUACCGAUUGGACGGUUUAGCGAGGCCUUCGGAUUAGCGCGCGCCGCGCCGCCCGCCCUUCGGGGUUGGGUGGCUGGUGAUAGCGUUGAGAAGACGGUCGAACUUGACCGUCUAGAGGAAGUAAAAGUCGUAACA